CCCUCACCAUUAACAGAGCCCCUGCAGUGGACUAAUGCCUGGUCUGAGGACCUAAAGGCUUGAGCUGUUCUUGAUACUGUGUUAUUACAAAUAAUAAUAAAAACCUACCAUUUAUUCAGCCCUUUUUGGAUGCCAGGCUCUGAUCCAGGCAGUCUCACAUUCCUUAUCUCAACUCACCCUUUCAGACCCAUGGAGUUGGGGAUUCUACUUCUUAUUGCUCAUAUGACACUGGGACAAUUUCCCCAAACACCGAGCAUCCCGUCUAAGACACCAUGACAAGUUAACAGGAGACUCGGUGUAACUCUCUUCCUCAACCCACAGUCUCCCCUCUGCUCUGCCAGAACCAAAGACCUUCAAGGGCAGGAAGAACCUGCUACCUCACCACAUCUGGGCACAUUUCAUCCUGGCAGUGGUGGCCUUGUAAAGAGGGACUCUGUGGGCUGUAUCACUAACCAAGCCCCAAGGCUCUGCAGAGCACCUCCCAGGGAGCCCUGCUCAACCCCUUAUCACGUGCACACCCCAGACCUGGUGCUGGAAGGUGAGGCGGGGGGUAGGAGCUAACUAACAUUUACUGAGCGCUCUGUGCUUAGUCCUCACACAGCCUUGUGAAGUAGGAAUUAAUAGUCUCACUGUACCAAUGAGAAAACUGAGAUUUACCAAAAGAGUAAAAAAUAAAGUCAGUUCUGUUUUAAAAGCUAAUAUUUUUUUUUCCACUGUCUACUGCUUCCUCAGAUAAUGAAAAAAAGGAAAGAUAGGAAAGCUGCAGAGAUAUCUUGGUCAACCUGUCACUGAUGGAGGGACCUUCUAGAAAACAUCUUAACUAAGACCCAUAUGCCUUUCCAAGGCAGAUCAUUACUAUAGGACAACUGAAAAAAAGAUUCUCUGAUGUAAUAUGCCUUUGGCCUGGGCCAGGUUGAAGGACAGGGUUUUAGAAUAAGGGGAGAUCAGGGCCUGGACCAGAGGACUCCUUGAGGCAACUGGAAAUGGCAGAAUCUUAGGACUGUGGUACCUAGAUGGAGCCUUUUGAAAACCUGAUCAGCCAGCCUCUUCCAGUCUUCAUCCCAGGGUUGGAUAAAAACCUCCAAUAGGAAGGACAGCAGAGGGCAGAGGUAUUAAUCCACACUCCUUUGCACUGAAGCUCAAGUAACUCUAAGUCCACUUAGUACUAUUAUCAACUAAUCCGCAUCUAUCUUAUUACUUGAAAGGAUAGCAGGAGAGAUUCAUCAAAAGCUGAAAUGAGAUGCAUGUUCUCUGCUGCAUUACUCCCCAACCUAUGCCAAACCUAACAGCAAAGAAAAUGAGAUUGGUCUGCAUGCCUGAUUCAGAGUUUACUUGUGGUAGCUUUUCACUGAUCCCUGUGUCUUCUUCUAAAUGCUCCGAAGCCAUCUUGUUAGAAAUCUGUUUUAAAAUUUGGCCAAGGGUCUAUGCCAGUAUUACCACUCUGAAGUUGGUUUUCUUUAAAUUUUUUAUUGAAAUAUAGUAGAUUUGCAAUGUGUUAAUUUCCUCCAUACAGCAAAGUGAUUCAAUUACAGGUAUAUAUACAUUCUGUUUAAAUAUUCUUUCCCAUUAUGGUUUCAUAGAAUAUUGAAUAUAGUUCCCUGUGCUAUACAGUAGGACCUUGUUGUUUAACUAUUUUAUGUAUAAUAAUUUGCACCUGCUAACUGCAAAUUCCCAGUCCAUUCCUCUCCCACCUCUUCUCCCUGUUGGCAACCACAAUCUGUUUUCUAUGUCUGUGAGUCUGUGUUUCAUAAAAGUCCAUUUGUGUCACAUUUUAGAUUCCACAUAUAAUGAUAUCAUAUGGUAGUAGUCUUUCUCCUUCUGACUUAUUUCACUUAGUUUGAUAAUCUGUUGUUCCAUCCAUAUUGCUGCAAAUGGCAUUAUUUUAUUCCUUUUUAUGGCUAAGUAGUAUUCCACUGUAUACAUGUACCACAUCUUUAUCCAUUCAUCUAUCAAUGGACAUUUAGAUCAUUUCCAUGUCUUGGCUGUUGUGAAGAGUGCUGCUAUGAACAUUGGGGUGCAUGUAUCUUUUUUAAUUAUAUUUUUGUCCAGAUGUAUGCCCAAGAGUGGGAUUAUUGGAUCAUAUGGCAGCUCUAUUUUUAGUUUUCGAGGAACCACAGUACUGUUUUCCAUAAUGGCGACACUGAUUUACAUUCCCAGCAACAAUGUGGCAGGGUUCCCUUUUUUCCAUACCCUCGCCAGCAUUUGUUAUUUGUAGACUUCUUAAUGAUGGCCACUCUGAAUGGCCACUUAAUGAUGGUAUGAGGUAGUACCUCAUUGCAAGGAGUUCCCGUCGUGGCGCAGUGGUUAACGAAUCCGACUAGGAACCAUGAGGUUGCGGGUUUGGUCCCCGCCCUUGCUCAGUGGGUUAACGAUCCGGCGUUGCCGUGAGCUGUGGUGUAGGUUGCAGACGCGGCUCGGAUCCCGCGUUGCUGUGGCUCUGGCGUAGGCCGGUGGCUACAGCUCCGAUUCAACCCCUAGCCUGGGAACCUCCAUAUGCCACGGGAGCGGCCCAAGAAAUAGCAACAACAACA
rnacentral:lncRNA from 1 species